UAUAUCCAAAAUUGAAAUAGAGUCUCAGUAAUCGGAUACUAAUAUUUAAAAAAUAUGAAAAGAAAACACAGAAAUCCUCCGUAAAGCUUUAGCGCUUUCAUUACAUCUUCAGAAGCUUUACAAAAAUGUAUACAUAGCAGUAUCAUAGUAACAGUGAUUAUGACGUCAAAGUAAGCGGAACGUUAAAUGUCUAUAUUGUGACGUCAUGGAUAAUGUACAACAAUGAUCUGGAAAAAGUACGGGAAAAUCAUAGGCAAUUAUAAAAGACUAUUAAGUUUUGGCUUUAGCAUACAUGCCAACUUUCCCGAUUUAGGCGGGAUCUUCCCGAUUUUACCCUCCGGUCCCGCUUUCCCGAUCGGGAAAGCAAAAUUACCCUAAAAUCCCGAUUUGAAAUUUUUUUUCGACCAAAAUUUCCGAUUUCACGAUUGAAAACGAGUUUGAAAGCGGGAUAAUCGUGAAAUCUCGUGACCAGAAUUGGAAAUCCCGCGUCAUUUCUGAACUGGCCAAUCAGAAAUCGGGACAAUAGUCAGCCAUUGCUGUUUACCUGUGUUGCAUGGUGUCGGGUUGGUCUGCCUGUGUCGGGGUGUUUAUUGGACAGUACGAAGCAUGUUUUGAUAGUAAUUAAUCGGGAAGACGGAUUUCAAAUUGACCUAUCCUUUACACAAACGUGAAUGACAACGAUGCUAGUGUCACCACCAAACAAUCGGACAUUCCGCCUCUCGCUGACAGCAUCCAAAAUUUGCAAUAAGAUGUCAUGGGUGCAAAGGUUUUGUUCGCAAACUUCAUAGCAGGGCAGAUCACUCCUUUUUUGAUUGCAAUGCAGAUUAUUCCACCAGUCUCUGCAAGCCCAUGUUUACAAACAAGCAAGAUCGCCUUUGCAGUCGUACCUAAAUGCAUGUGCUUUAAUUUAAAUUUUGAUAUAUAGACCGGCCAAUGUUUAUUGUAUGGUGUAAAAGGAUGCAACCUUAAAUAUUAUUUGAUAUUAUGUAUGUGACUUGUUGGAGAAGAUUUUUUGCUGAAUAGAUGAUUUUAAUAAAAUAUUAAUGUAUA